GGGAUGGCAUCCCCCCUCGGCUUCCCAGACACCCCCAUCAAUGCCUGGCCCCCUUCCUUAGGAGCGGGGGUCUCAGAGACAUGAGGCUUGGGGAGGCCAGCCAAACUAACAACCAGGCCAUAUGUUUCUUAAAACAAAAACAAAACCCAACAGCCCUUAAGGGCUUGGGGGUGGGGAAUGCAUCCUGCAGGACCAGGACAGCUGCACGGGACACCACAAUGUGAGUUCACAAGAAGGCCGCCUGGCUGCUCAGGGGCUGGCCUGGGCACCUCGGAACCAGGCCUGGACCCCAGGUCUUCCCUGUGAUGAAUCCAAGUUCAAAGGCACCAGCUCCAGCGCCUACCGCUCAGGCUGGGUGGCUCCAGGGGCAGCUCCCAAGAAGCCCUGUCUUCUAGAGCCAGAGCCUGAAGCCCCACCAUUCUCCUGGCUUCAUUCCAGGCAAAGGAUUACCCAUGCUUGGCUUCUAAGAAAUGCCACACCCCAAGAGGGUAACAGGGUGGAGAGACUGCCAACGGACACAUCCAUAGCUGGGCUGAAGUCUGUGUCUCAACUUGUGUCCUGAUUUCUGGAGAUGCAAAGAGUGAGACAACUCCUCGUAGUCGGCCACUCUGACCUGGCAAGAGCCCACAAGCUCCCUGCCCGCUUCUUCUUCUCUAGGCAUGCUGUCUCAGGGUCUGAUGUCACACCACCCUUCCCCAUGUGGGGAUGGACAUACAGCAGGUGCAUCUU
rnacentral:antisense_RNA from 1 species